GCCCCGGUGGUGAAACAGGUAGACACAAGAGACUUAAAAUCUCUCGGCCACGUGCCAUGCCGGUUCGAUUCCGGCCCGGGGCACCA
rnacentral:tRNA from 1 species